CAUGCCGUAAACGAUGAUUACUAGGUGUGGGGGGUCUGACCCCUUCCGUGCCGGAGUUAACACAAUAAGUAAUCCACCUGGGAAGUACGACCGCAAGGUUGAAACUCAAAGGAAUUGACGGGGGCCCGCACAAGCAGUGGAGUAUGUGGUUUAAUUCGAAGCAACGCGAAGAACCUUACCAGGUCUUGACAUCCAACUAACGAAGCAGAGAUGCAUCAGGUGCCCUUCGGGGAAAGUUGAGACAGGUGG
rnacentral:rRNA from 1 species